rnacentral:rRNA from 1 species
UACAGAGGUCUCAAGCGUUGUUCGGAUUCAUUGGGCGUAAAGGGUGUGUAGGUGGCGCGGUAAGUCGGGUGUGAAAUCUUGGAGCUUAACUCCGAAACUGCAUUCGAUACUGCCGUGCUUGAGGACUGGAGAGGAGACUGGAAUUUACGGUGUAGCGGUGAAAUGCGUAGAUAUCGGAAGGAAGACCAGUGGCGAAGGCGGGUCUCUGGACAGUUCCUGACGCUGAGGCACGAAGGCCUGGGGAGCAAACGGG